UAGCUUAGCUGGUAAAGAAUCUGCCUGCAAUGCAGGAGACCCUGGUUUGAUUCCUGG
rnacentral:tRNA from 1 species